CCUACGGGAGGCUGCAGUAAGGAAUCUUGCACAAUGGGCGCAAGCCUGAUGGAGCCACGUCGCGUGAGUGAUGACGGCUUUAGGCUCGUAAAGCUUCGUUGAUGGAGAAGUACGUUCGUGCGCGUAACUGUUUUUGUAUUGACGUUAUGCAUCAAGAUCGUCUCACUCCACUACAUCCGCGUCGGUAAUAUGGAGCGUGCGAGCGUUAUCCGGAUUGAUUGGGUUUGAAGUGAGCGUAGGUGGGUGGUUAGGUCAGUUGUGAUAGUUUGCGGCUCAACCGUAAAAGUGCAGUUGAUCCGGGGAGUCGUGAGUGCAGUAGAGGUCGGUGGAAGUCGUGGUGUAGCGGUGGAAUGCUUAGAUA
rnacentral:rRNA from 1 species